rnacentral:miRNA from 1 species
GUGAGCAUCCUUACAUUUUG